CUCUAAGCAUCAGGUAACAUCAAAUCGUACCCCAAACCGACACAGGUGGUCAGGUAGAGAAUACCAAGGCGCUUGAGAGAACUCGGGUGAAGGAACUAGGCAAAAUGGUGCCGUAACUUCGGGAGAAGGCACGCUGACACGUAGGUGAAGUGAUUUACUCAUGGAGCUGAAGUCAGUCGAAGAUACCAGCUGGCUGCAACUGUUUAUUAAAAACACAGCACUGUGCAAACACGAAAGUGGACGUAUACGGUGUGACGCCUGCCCGGUGCCGGAAGGUUAAUUGAUGGGGUCAGCGCAAGCGAAGCUCCUGAUCGAAGCCCCGGUAAACGGCGGCCGUAACUAUAACGGUCCUAAGGUAGCGAAAUUCCUUGUCGGGUAAGUUCCGACCUGCACGAAUGGCGUAAUGAUGGCCAGGCUGUCUCCACCCGAGACUCAGUGAAAUUGAACUCGCUGUGAAGAUGCAGUGUACCCGCGGCAAGACGGAAAGACCCCGUGAACCUUUACUAUAGCUUGACACUGAACAUUGAGCCUUGAUGUGUAGGAUAGGUGGGAGGCUUUGAAGUGUGGACGCCAGUCUGCAUGGAGCCGACCUUGAAAUACCACCCUUUAAUGUUUGAUGUUCUAACGUGGACCCGUUACCCGGGUUGCGGACAGUGUCUGGUGGGUAGUUUGACUGGGGCGGUCUCCUCCUAAAGAGUAACGGAGGAGCACGAAGGUUGGCUAAUCCUGGUCGGACAUCAGGAGGUUAGUGCAAUGGCAUAAGCCAGCUUGACUGCGAGCGUGACGGCGCGAGCAGGUGCGAAAGCAGGUCAUAGUGAUCCGGUGGUUCUGAAUGGAAGGGCCAUCGCUCAACGGAUAAAAGGUACUCCGGGGAUAACAGGCUGAUACCGCCCAAGAGUUCAUAUCGACGGCGGUGUUUGGCACCUCGAUGUCGGCUCAUCACAUCCUGGGGCUGAAGUAGGUCCCAAGGGUAUGGCUGUUCGCCAUUUAAAGUGGUACGCGAGCUGGGUUUAGAACGUCGUGAGACAGUUCGGUCCCUAUCUGCCGUGGGCGCUGGAGAACUGAGGGGGGCUGCUCCUAGUACGAGAGGACCGGAGUGGACGCAUCACUGGUGUUCGGGUUGUCAUGCCAAUGGCACUGCCCGGUAGCUAAAUGCGGAAGAGAUAAGUGCUGAAAGCAUCUAAGCACGAAACUUGCCCCGAGAUGAGUUCUCCCUGAGACUUAGAGUCUCCUGAAGGAACGUUGAAGACGACGACGUUGAUAGGCCGGGUGUGUAAGCGCAGCGAUGCGUUGAGCUAACCGGUACUAAUGAACCGUGAGGCUUAACCUUACAACGCCGAAG
rnacentral:rRNA from 1 species